rnacentral:rRNA from 1 species
AGCCUGCAGCAGAUAUUGUAGGUGCUUUCUGCCCGGUGUGUGUAUUAACGGCCGCAGUACUUUGACUGUGCUAAGGUAGCAUAAUAAUUUGUCCUCUAAUUAGGGUCUGGAAUGAAUGAAUUAAUGGGGAAAAACUUUAUUUUUUUAAUAUGUAGAACUUACUUUUUAAGUGAAAAAGCUUAAAUUUUAAUGAGGGACGAGAAGACCCUUAAAGCUUUUAUUUGUUUUUGGCUGGGGCGGCUCAGGAGACACCCUCCUGAAUUUAUAACUCAAAUAUAUUUAACUUGAUUAAGCUACUUAAGGGAUAACAGCAUAAUCCUUUACAGGGUUUAUGACCUCGAUGUUGGACUAGGGAUAAACUAGGCUAGAAGCUUAGUUUAAUAGUUCUGUUCGAACUAAUUUACCUU